rnacentral:rRNA from 1 species
UACAGAGGGUGCAAGCGUUAAUCGGAUUUACUGGGCGUAAAGGGCGCGUAGGUGGUUAGGUAAGUGAGCUGUGAAAUCCCCGGGCUUAACCUGGGAACUGCGUUUGAAACUACAAGGCUAGAGUGUGGCAGAGGGGGGUGGAAUUCCACGUGUAGCAGUGAAAUGCGUAGAGAUGUGGAGGAACACCGAUGGCGAAGGCAGCCCCCUGGGUUAACACUGACGCUCAGGCACGAAAGCGUGGGGAGCAAACAGG